UACGUAGGGGCUAGCGUUAUCCGGAAUUACUGGGCGUAAAGGGUGCGUAGGUGGUUUCUUAAGUCAGAGGUGAAAGGCUACGGCUCAACCGUAGUAAGCCUUUGAAACUGAGAAACUUGAGUGCAGGAGAGGAGAGUGGAAUUCCUAGUGUAGCGGUGAAAUGCGUAGAUAUUAGGAGGAACACCAGUUGCGAAGGCGGCUCUCUGGACUGUAACUGACACUGAGGCACGAAAGCGUGGGGAGCAAACAGGAUUAGAUACCCCGGUAGUCCCUGAGCGGG
rnacentral:rRNA from 1 species